AGCAGCCGCGGUAAUUCCAGCUCCAAUAGCGUAUAUUAAAGUUGUUGCAGUUAAAAAGCUCGUAGUUGAAUUUCGGGAUUAGUACGCUGGUCAUGCCUUUGGUAUGUACUGGUGUUACUGAUUUCUACCUUCUGAAGAACCGUUAUGUCAUUUAUUUGGUGUGGCGGGGAAUCAGGACUGUUACUUUGAAAAAUUAGAGUGUUUAAAGCAGGCUCGCGCUUGAAUACAUUAGCAUGGAAUAAUGAAAUAGGACGUUUGACCCUAUUUUGUUGGUUUCUAGGAUCGACGUAAUGAUUAAUAGGGAUAGUUGGGGGCAUUAGUAUUCAAUUGUCAGAGGUGAAAUUCUUGGAUUUAUUGAAGACUAACUACUGCGAAAGCAUUUGCCAAGGAUGUUUUCAUUAAUCAAGAACGAAAGUUAGGGGAUCGAAGACGAUCAGAUACCGUCGUAGUCUUAACCAUAAACUAUGCCGACUAGGGAUCGGAUGAUGUUAUUUUAAUGACUCAUUCGGCGCCUUAAC
rnacentral:rRNA from 1 species